rnacentral:rRNA from 1 species
UACAGAGGGGGCAAGCGUUGUUCGGAAUUACUGGGCGUAAAGGGCGCGUAGGCGGCCUUCUAAGUCGGACGUGAAAUCCCUGGGCUCAACCCAGGAACUGCGUCCGAUACUGGAAGGCUUGAGUCCGGGAGAGGGAUGCGGAAUUCCAGGUGUAGCGGUGAAAUGCGUAGAUAUCUGGAGGAACACCGGUGGCGAAGGCGGCAUCCUGGACCGGUAUUGACGCUGAGGCGCGAAAGCCAGGGGAGCAAACGGG